GUUAGACGAACAGCCUGGAAAGGCCGACGAUACAGGGUGAUAGUCCCGUAGUUGACGACGUGUGUUCAGUGAAAUCGAGUAGGGCGGGACACGUGAUAUCCUGUCUGAAUAUGGGGGGACCAUCCUCCAAGGCUAAAUACUACUGACUGACCGAUAGUGAACCAGUACCGUGAGGGAAAGGCGAAAAGAACCCCUGUGAGGGGAGUGAAAUAGAACCUGAAACCGUGUACGUACAAGCAGUAGGAGCACCUUCGUGGUGUGACUGCGUACCUUUUGUAUAAUGGGUCAGCGACUUAUAUUCAGUGGCAAGGUUAACCAUCUAGGGGAGCCGUAGCGAAAGCGAGUGUUAACUGCGCGACUCAGUCGCUGGAUAUAGACCCGAAACCAGGUGAUCUAGCCAUGGGCAGGUUGAAGAUUGAGUAACAUCAAUUGGAGGACCGAACCGACUAAUGUUGAAAAAUUAGCGGAUGACUUGUGGCUAGGGGUGAAAGGCCAAUCAAACCUGGAGAUAGCUGGUUCUCCCCGAAAGCUAUUUAGGUAGCGCCUCGGACGAAUACUACUGGGGGUAGAGCACUGUUAAGGCUAGGGGGUCAUCCCGACUUACCAACCCUUUGCAAACUCCGAAUACCAGUAAGUACUAUCCGGGAGACACACGGCGGGUGCUAACGUCCGUCGUGG
rnacentral:rRNA from 1 species